AGGCUGCGUGCGUGCGUGCGUGCGUGCAUGCGUGUGUCUUUCAUUCGGGAAUUCUGGAACUCAGAACACUGGAGCAUGUCAGAUUUGAGUAGCUUUAAUCACCCAUAGCAACACCAGAGUUCUCAGUGGACCUGAGCAGAUCCCUCCAGUUACCUCAGUAGUGCGCAGCAGUGUGCGGAGAUCCCUGGGGCUCCCUGGAUAUAGCUCUCCUGUUUGUCCACAGAUCUGGCUGCAGUUGUCUUUAGAGAAUAAUGGCCUCCUUUCUUUAGCUCUCCAAAGUGAGAUACAAGUGUGUCUCAUGACCUGGAACUGUUGAUGGCAGCAGAGAUGAGCUGAUGACAGCCUAUGCUGCUCCCCACAGCAGUCCUGAGAGUUCUUUCAAGAGACCUCCAUUCAGUUAAAGCUGAUUUUGUCACAGAAAAGAAUUUCAGAGUGGGCCAGUGUGGUAGUUUGAGUAAGAAUGGCCCCCAUAAAGCUCAUAUAUUUGAAUGCUUAGUCAGUAUUUGCAAUGAUUAGAAGGAUUAGGAGGUGUGGCUUGCUGGAGGAAGUGUGUCACUGGGGGUGGGCUUUGAGGUUUCUAAAGCUCAUGCCAAGCCUGUGUGUUCUCUCUGCAUAGGAAUCAGGCUGUAACUGUCAGCUAUUGCUGACAUACAUCUGCCUGCAUGCCCCCGUGACCCCACUGUGAAGAAGAAGAUGACCUGAGCCACUGAAACUUCACAAAGAGCUCCUGAGUCUCGCUCAUAUGCAAAGGGAAGAUGGUGAGAACGAAGCUUCACUUUGUAGAGAUGAGGACAUCUACACAGGACUCUUCUGAAAGACAAAAAGUCCACCAUUUUAAUUACAGGACUUAAAAUUAACUUGAUAAGCUUCUCCUCCUGCUCCACACUGCUCCCAGCGGCUCCCUGGCUACACUGGGCUGGCUUGGCUGCUGUCCCCAGCCGCCACCACAAUCAUCUACUGGGACCUUAUCAGCCACAACAAGAUGUUCUCUGAUAUCUACAAGAUCCAGGAGACAGAGAAUGGGCUAUGCCUGGAGGAAAGAGGUCAAGACAGUCAGUAGAACAGAGGGUAAUAUUGAUGCCUCAAUACUGGUGGAACUCCUUCUGCUACAGAUAGAGGGCGGAGGUUCUGGAAGCACAGUUGAUGUCAUGAAACCACCACUAACGAGAAAACGGUGACACAAAAGUACAUCAAAGAUGACAUGAAAUAAUUCAAAGGCAAACUUGAAGAACAAACCCAGGAAGAAUGAAACUGUGAACACAGGAAUCCAGAUAGCAUGGUGUUCGCCCAGACUACUGUGAAGAUGGUGUGACUCCAUUUAUGCUUUCUUUAAAGGGUGCUUUAGAGAUGGAAAAAUGUUAACAAAUUGGGCGAUUACUUUGAAUCUAUCAUCUGUCAUCAUAUCUGGCUGGUGUUUGUCACCCAUAUAACACCAGGACUUUAGACAAAUGGGACUGAUGUCAUCUUGAGCUUUUAUUUUGCCCUUGACAUAUUUAGAGUUGAGGUAUUGCUUUGUAAGAAAAUAAAAAAAGAGUCGUUAGGUUGUCUUUAAAUAGAGUGCAUUUAAGCUUAAAAAAUGCAAAGCAAGAUAAAAAUAAGGUCAUGAACUGGUUAGAAUCACAUUUAAUGAUUCACUAGGGCUGGAGAGAUGGCUCAGUGGUUAAGGACACUGCUCUUCCAGAGGUCCUGAGUUCAAUUCCCAGCAACCACAUGGUGGCUCGCAGCCAUCACCAUUUAGAGAUGGAAAAAUGUUCUGGUGUCUUCUGAUGUCUGAAGAAAGCUACAGUGUGCUCACAUACAUAAAAUGAAUAAACUCUUUUAA
rnacentral:sRNA from 1 species